AAUUUUUUAUUAUUCUGGUUGCUUUCUCCUUUGCAUUAUUAGAGAAAGUAAGUAAAUGUGAAAGACCUUCUGGUUUUAUUAUAUGGUUAAAUAAUGAGCCCUAAAAGAAUUAUCAUUCUGAUUUAGAAUGGAUAUGCAUUAUCACAUUCUCAGACUUUCAAAGGCUGUCAAGUAUCUAUCUAGGACUCACUGUAUAAAAAUAUCAGCACUGGGAAGCCUAAAGUCAGGACAGACUUGUACAUGGUGAAAAGGAAGGCACAGGGGAAUUGAAUAGAGCUGAGAAUCCAGAUGUUUUUAAGGCUCAGUUCCAUCGAAGGGCUAAAGCGAAAAAUUACUCCUGGUUUCAGCUUUUUGGAAGAGGGUCCAAGUCCAACCGGGCUCUUAAGAGACACAGCAGAGGAGCAGAGAUUGGCAUCUGUUCUGGAACCUGAAGAUUGGGUCUUCUGAGAACAUCAAAGAAAGACUGUCCUUGCCAUCCACACUACAGCAAAACUUCAGGACCUUGAAUUUUGGGUUCAUAAUCUAACAACUGAGAAGGGUCCCUCCACACUCUUGGAACUGUACACCCAUUGGAACCCUUAAGGUAAAGCUAACCAGGGAAGUUUCUCCCCAGAAGAAUAUGGAGUCCUUGAUGUGAACAGCUUUUCCCAAGAUCAUAGAUCAAGACUUCUCUACAAUCAUGAGAUUCUUACCUUUGAACAUUUGUCCUUGCUUAUGCCUCUAUGAACGAUAGAAAUGGAAAAGGGGUCUAUUGUGUGCACUUAUGGGGUUUACUUUUAUUUGUGAAGGAUUUUGCAGCCAGCCUUGUAUAUGGAUAAUCUUGUACUUUGAUAGAUAAAAGGUGAAGGCCCAAGGUAGGUGAGAAACUUUACUGGUACAUGCGUCGUCUCAUAAUUAAUCAGAAACAGAAUAUUGGUUCACCUCUCUUAACCCACAUCAUGAGUUAAAGAGAACAUUGCCAGGAGGUUUUCACUCUUCUAGAAGGGCAUCAUUUGUUAGGUCCUUUUUCCUUGAUUAGAAGAGAAGUAAUGAUUAGAAAUGUAUCACUCAUGGUAGGCUCUAUAGCAGAUAGAGGCUACAGUUACAUGACAGAAUUUUAUUUCUUUUGUAAAAGUUAUGAUAGAAUUGGCUGAACAGAGAAGUACCUGUGCAGCUACUGGCACUGGUGGCCUGUGAAGAAAUACAUCAGAUGAAGAUUAUAGGGAUUCAUUGGUAGGGGAUUCAUGAAGAGAUUGCUUAGUUUGGUGAGUAGACUCUUUAUCUAGCUCACUCUUUGAUCUAUUUGAUGUCAGGUGGUUUGGUUUAUGCAGAUCCUGGGUAAGGAGCAUACUCCAAACUUGGUAUUAUCUUCCUAAUAGGCAUUAUAAUAGUCUCCCUGGUGUACUGUGUUCUUUCAAAGGUUUUAAGUGCUUCCAUGCAGCCAUUGCCACAAUAUCAAAUGGUCUGUCCUCAACUGGAAUGACAAGAGCUUAAAGAAAUGUGUGACCAUGAGGACACCAUAACCUAUGAAUGGCGCGUUGAGACAAGAAAUCCAAAAUCAUGGUAACUGAGAGUAGCACUAAGGCACUAAAUUUUGGUCACACGCUUACCUAAGUGAGAACCUGACCAAAAAGGGAAUUUUUUUAAAACAAAAUUAUGGG
ensembl:lncRNA